UACAGAGGGGGCGAGCGUUGUUCGGAAUUACUGGGCGUAAAGGGCGCGUAGGCGGCCAACUAAGUCAGACGUGAAAUCCCUCGGCUCAACCGGGGAACUGCGUCUGAUACUGGAUGGCUUGAAUUCGGGAGAGGGAUGCGGAAUUCCAGGUGUAGCGGUGAAAUGCGUAGAUAUCGGGAGGAACACCAGUGGCGAAGGCGACUUCCUGGCCUGUUCUUGACGCUGAGGCGCGAAAGCUAGGGUAGCAAACGGG
rnacentral:rRNA from 1 species